rnacentral:rRNA from 1 species
UACGGGGGGGGCAAGCGUUGUUCGGAAUUACUGGGCGUAAAGGGCGCGUAGGCGGUUCGAUAAGUCAGCUGUGAAAACCAUGGGCUUAACUCAUGGCCUGCAGUUGAGACUGUCGGGCUGGAGUGUGGGAGAGGAGAGUGGAAUUCCUGGUGUAGCGGUGAAAUGCGUAGAUAUCAGGAGGAACACCUGUGGUGUAGACAGCUUACUGGACCACUUCUGACGCUGAGACACGAAAGCGUGGGUAGCAAACAGG